GACGAACGCUGGCGGCGUGCUUAACACAUGCAAGUCGAACGAAGAGCGAUGGAAGCUUGCUUCUAUCAAUCUUAGUGGCGAACGGGGGAGUAACGCGUAAUCAACCUGCCCUUCAGAGGGGGACAACAGUUGGAAACGACUGCUAAUACCGCAUACGAUCUAAUCUCGGCAUCGAGGAUAGAUGAAAGGUUGCCGCGACAUGUAGACUAUCACUGGAGGUGGGGAUUGGGUGUGAUUAGGUAGUUGGAGGGGUAAAGGCCCACCAAGGCGAUGAUCCGUAGCCGGUCUGGGAGGAUGAACGGCCACAUUGGGACUGAGACACGGCCCAGACUCCUACGGGAGGCAGCAGUGGGGAAUCUUCCGCAAUGGACGAAAGUCUGACGCCGCACCGCCGGGUGAGUGAUGGCGGCCUUCGGGUUGUAAAGCUCUGUUAAUCGGGACGAAAGGGCUUCUUGCGAAUAGUGCGAAGGAUUGACGGUACCGGAAUAGAAAGCCACGGCUAACUACGUG
rnacentral:rRNA from 1 species